UGUGGGUCAGGAAUUUGGAUAGGGCACAGAGGCAGUGGCUUGUCUGUCAUCCCCAGUGCCUGGGUUCUCAGCCGAGAAGACUCCAAAGCUGGAGGUGACUUGAUGAUGGGGUAUUCUGGCACUGCCUCUCCUUGUGUCUGGUGGCCUUUGCUGACCCUGAAGACCUUCUCUGUGAUGUCAUCUGGAGCCCCUACACAUGGCUUCUCUGUGUGGUGGUGCAUCCACCCAGACUAGUUGGGAAAUCCUCGGAGCAUGGUGGCAGGCCCCAAGAGUGAGGGUCACAAGAGAGCCAGGCCUUUUUAGGAUCUAGCUUCGGAAGUUGCGUACCACCUGUAAUGCCCUGUGAGUGGAAGGAGUCACAAAGCUCUGCCCAGCUAGGUUCAAGAUGAGGGUCUGUAGACCCCCACCUCUCAAUGAGAUGAGUAGCAGAGCCCGUUGUGAGAAGGAUGUAUGGGCUGGGAGGUAUUGUGAUGGCAUUGCCAAAAGUGAUCUCAUUUGAACCAGUUAGUCACCUCACCUCUGUUCUUCAGGCUUAUUCCUGAGCCUGCACUCUGCUUCGUGCUACCUCCGUGCUACAGUUACCCAUGACCCCCUUCUUUGCUGAUCAGAAGUCUAGGCAUCCUUUAGUACCCAGCUCAGUCUGCAGACUGCCAGCAACAGACGUAGAGGGAAAAGCAAAGCUCUUCUCUGUUAUGUUUAAGGAGACAGUGAGCAUACUUCGGCUCAUGGAAACCAUUAUCUGCUAAGCUGAAGUCAUUAAAAUGGUCAACAUUCA